rnacentral:rRNA from 1 species
GCAAGGCUAAAACUCAAAGGAAUUGACGGGGACCCGCACAAGCAGCGGAGCGUGUGGUUUAAUUCGAGGCUACGCGAAGAACCUUACCAGGGUUUGACAUGGCGGUAGUAGGGAUCCGAAAGGUGACCGACCCUUCGGGGAGCCGUCACAGGUGCUGCAUGGCUGUCGUCAGCUCGUGCCGUGAGGUGUUAGGUUAAGUCCUGUAACGAGCGCAACCCACGUCGUUAGUUAUACGUGUCUAACGAGACUGCCGGUGAUAAGCCGGAGGAAGGUGUGGAUGACGUCAAGUCAGCAUGGCCUUUAUAUCCUGGGCUACACACACGCUACAAUGGCCGGUACAAUGGGCAGCGAAACCGCGAGGUGGAGCUAAUCCUCUAAAGCCGGACUCAGUUCGGAUUGCAGGCUGCAACUCGCCUGCAUGAAGUCGGAGUUGCUAGUAAACGCACGUCAGCACAGUGCGUUGAAUACGUUCCCGGGUCUUGUACACACCGCCCGUCACGUCAUGGAAGUUGGCAACGCCUGAAGUCGGUGGGCUAACCCUAACGGGAGGCAGCCGCCCAAGGCGGGGUCGGUAACUGGGACGAAGUCGUAACAAGGUA